GACGACGCUGGCGGCGUUGCUUAACACAUGCAAGUCGAACGGAACUCUUUUGGAUAGAGGCUUCGGCCAAUUGAAUUAGAGUUUAGUGGCGGACUGGUGAGUAACGCGUGAGGAACCUGCCUUUCAGAGGGGGACAACAGUUGGAAACGACUGCUAAUACCGCAUAACGCAUAGAGAUCGCAUGGUCUUUAUGCCAAAGAUUUAUCGCUGAAAGAUGGCCUCGCGUCUGAUUAGCUAGUUGGUGAGGUAACGGCCCACCAAGGCGACGAUCAGUAGCCGGACUGAGAGGUUGACCGGCCACAUUGGGACUGAGAUACGGCCCAGACUCCUACGGGAGGCAGCAGUGGGGAAUAUUGGGCAAUGGGGGAAACCCUGACCCAGCAACGCCGCGUGAAGGAAGAAGGCCUUCGGGUUGUAAACUUCUUUUAGCAGGGACGAAGAACGUGACGGUACCUGCAGAAAAGCAACGGCUAACUACGUG
rnacentral:rRNA from 1 species